CAAGAAAGUGGCUUUUGUGCUCAGUGCUCCAACAUUGCAGUUAGAGCUCCACUCAAUGUUACCGGAUGGUCCUCAGGGGAAGGGUGGUUCUAGGUUUCCAGCCCCACCCAAGGAAGGGUGAGCUGAGCAGGGAGGAGAAGCUGGAGGAGACUGCAAGAAGAUGGAGAGCAAGAAGGAGAGCUGGAGGAGGCAUGGGGAGCAGAGACAUGUGAGGAAGUUGUGCUUGCUUCUCGGCCUGGGACUGGUACCAGGACUUGGAGGACAUGGAAGAGGACCCUUGAAACCAACAUGGAUAACUGCUCUCCUUUUGAGAAGCGAUUCUGAGCCUACUGCUGGACCAUAGUGAACUGAAUCCUUGAACAUGUGUCACUGAGUUACCUUGACACCUGAGCUGUCCAACAUCAAGCCAUGCCUGGUAGCUCUCCAUCAUCAAAAAAAAGUGGUUUUAUAUGUGACUGGGCCCACGCACAUGCUGAAGGCACAAGCAAAGAAGGGAG